rnacentral:misc_RNA from 1 species
AAGUCGUAACAAGGUUUCCGUAGGUGAACCUGCGGAAGGAUCAUUAUUGAAUAUUCCUGAUGAGUUGUAGCUGGCUCUUUGGAGCAUGUGCACGCUUGUCUUGAUCUUAUUCAUCCACCUGUGCACAUUUUGUAGUCUUUUGGGCUGAGUCGAGUAUCGGAUGGAUGUCUAUCCGGAUGUGAGGACUGCUGAGUGCGAAAGCAUACGGCUCUUCUCUGUUUGACCUCACCCUUGAGUACUAUGUAUUCAUAUACUACAUAGUAUGUUGUAGAAUGUGAUCAUUGGGCCUUUGUGCCUAUAAUAAUCAUAUACAACUUUCAGCAACGGAUCUCUUGGCUCUC